UUUUUUUUUUUUUUUUUUUUUUUUUGAGACAGAGUCUUGCUCUGUCACCCAGGCUGGAGUGCAGUGGCGCGAUCUCAGCUCACUGCAACUGCCGCCUCCUGGGUUCAAGUGAUUCUCCUGCCCCGACCUCCUGAGUAGCUGGGAUUACAGGGACGUGCCACCACUCCUGGCUAUUUUUUUUUUUUUUUUAGUAGAGAUGGGGUUUCACCAUGUUGGCCAGGCUGGUCUCAAACUCCUGACCUCAAGUGAACCACCCCUCUCAGCCUCCCAAAGUGCUGGGAUUACAGGCGUGAGCCACCGUGCCCAGCCAGCUUAAUAUAAUUUUUUAACUUUAUAAACUUAAAAAAAAUUCAACUUUUUGACUCUUUUGUAAUAACAGCCUAAAACACAAACACAUUAUACAGCGUACAAAAAAUAUUUUUAUAUCUGUAUUCUAUAAGCUUUUUUCUAUUAAAAUUUUUUUUAACUUUUAAAACUUCUUUCUUAAAAAUCAAGACACAAGAACGCACACUCUCCUAGGCCUGCACAGGGUCAGGAUGAUCAAUAUCACUGUCUCCCACUUCCAUAUCUCGUCCCACUGGAAGGUUUUCAGGGGCAGUAAUAUGCAUGGAGCUGAAAACGCCUAUGAUAACAAUGCCUUCUUCUGGAAUACCUCCUGAAGGACCUGCCUGAGGUUGCUUUACAGUUAACAUAUUUCUAAGUAGAAGGAGUACACUCUAAAAUAAUGAUAAAAAGUAUAGUAUGGUAAAUACAUAAACCAGUAACCUAGUCAUUUAUUAUCAAGUACUAUGUGUUAUUCAUAAUUGUAUGAGCUAGACUUUUAGUUGACUGGCAGCGCAGUAGGUCUGUUUACACCAGCAUCACCACAAACACAUGAGUAAUGUGUUGUGCUAUGAUGUUACAAUGACAAUAGCAUUACAACAGCUUUGCGUCACUAGAUGAUAGGAAUUUUCAGCUCCAUGAUAAUCUUAUAUAUGGAGACCACUGUCAUACAUGCGGCCCAUUGUUGACCAAAGCGUUAUGUGGCACAUGAUUGUAGUUGUUUAUAGUCAGCAUCCCUUCUGAUUGGGUGGUCUGUGCCAUUUUUGAGCAUUGCCUCUUGGAACAAGGUAUAAGAAAGACAGAGCCCAGCUAUAACUUUAGGAAUGUCCGUACCCUCAGGAAUAUCUGUAUCCUUAAGAAGGGCAACAGGGUUGCUGAGUACAGGCUAAAAUAACGAUAAAAAGUACAGUAUAGUAAAUAUGUAAAAAAAACAAGUAUUAUCUAUUGUUUUCUUUUUUGUUGUUGUUUUUUAUGUAUUGUGCAUAAUUGUAUGCAUAAUGCUUUUAUAUGACUGGCAGUGAAGUAGGUUUGUUUACACCAGCAUCAUCACAAACAUGUAACACAUGUAACUAUAACACAGUUAAGUCACCUGCAACAUCACUAGGCAAUAGCCAUUUUCCAGCUCCAUUACAUUCUUAUGGGACCACUGUUAUAUUUGUUCUCCCUCACUGACUGAAAUGUCGUUAUGUGGUAUGUGACUGUACAACAUAAACUCUUCAUUGUUUACUUUGUGGCUUCUUUGCAUGGCAGUCAUCUGAACCUUGUUCCUAAAUUCGGGGACUUCCCCACUGUUAUGGUCUGAAUAUUUGUGUCCCUCCAAAAUUCAUGUGUUUAAACCUAACCCCCAAGGUGAUGGUGUUAAGAGAUGGGGACUUUGUCACUGCUGUAUGUGGAAACUAAAUAAAAAGGAGAUGGGGAUUUGGGGAGGUGAUUAGGUCAUGAGGGCUCCACCCUCGUGGAUAGUUUAAGGGCUUGAGGGAGGCUUUCUGCCCGUUCUGCCAUGUGAGGAUGCAGUCAUUCAUUGCUGUCUAUGAGAAACAGGCCCUCACCAGACAUGGCGUCUGCCAGUCCCUUGAUCUUGGACUUCCCAACCUUCAGAACUGUGAGUGAUAAAUUUCUAUUGUUUAUAAAUUACCCAGUUGAAGGUAUUUUGUUACAGCAGCCUGAAUGGACUAAGACACCCACUGUAUAUGUUUGGGGAUUGAUAGGGUGUAUCACUUACCACAGAAGUAAAAAAGAAGGCAGAUUCUUGCUUCAUUCCUGCCCCAAACAUGAGUUUGUGGUGGACAUGUGUCUCAGUAUGGCAAAUCAGAUGCCCCUGCCCAGGGCUUUGACGCUCACAGUGGGAGGCAAAGAAGCAGAGAGAGAAAACUAUCCCUUCAAUAAAUCCUUUUCCUGCUUAAGUCUGAUUUAGAGCUGGUUUCCACUGCUUUCAAGGUUAAGAUGUUCAAGGCUGUGCUGGGAAGGCAGGUUGCCAUGCAAUCCCAAAGUGUGUGUGCUCGUUAAAUCUACACCUCCUCUGAGAGCCCAGGGUAGGUCACCAGCCAUCUCAUUCCUCCUGGGACUCAGGGGAUUUCCUGGAAUAUGGGACUUUCCGAGAUAAAGCUAGACAUACUGGGCAAACCCAGGUAGUUGGUCAACCUAAUCUGAGCCCCAUGGACUUAAAAGAGCUUUGGUGUUCCAAGUCAAGGCUGUCUUGGCUCCAAGUCAAUUCAUUAAUAUGUCCUGGAGAAAAGGAGGGAUCCCAGGAAUGCCUUUUCCAGAGACAGCUUCUGAAAUCAAAGGCCCUCUGAGGAAAUGCUUAGUAGGAGUCACUGAUUUUAUAAGAGUGACUCAUUCAGAACAUUUCGAUGUAAGCAGAGGUGGAUUUACCAGCGAGCUACUGAAACUUGAGCUUCAGAGGCCCUUGUUUGCCCUUGGAAGCCAUGGUAGGGGCCCAAUGAAUAGUCACAGGAUCAUAUGUUUUUGUCAAUUUUACAAAAGUAAGAUUUUUUUUUUUCUCUGCAGUAGGUUAAGAUGCCUGUCUCUUUCUCUUCUGACUUCCCCUCCUAUUAAGUGGUGGACGUUGGCAUGUCCAAGUGCAUUUCUGAAAAUUCUGCUAAGGGGUCAUUCAGUUUAGAAUACAUUUAGUUUGGAUUUAAUGGGAUGUGUGCCUGAAGUCACUGUCACUUCUUUGUACAGUUGUACAGUUUAAGCUAUUGCUGGCAGGGGAAACGCACAUAUCCUACCUUGAGUAUUUUAUUUGAUGCCAAAAUGCUUCUUUAAAUUUUAUUCUAUUUUAUUUUAUUUAGAGACAAGGUCUCUAAAAAAUAUGUUUCCUGGGCUGGGGUGCACUGGCUAUUCACAGACAUGAUCAUAGCUCACUGCAGUCUUGAACUCCUGGGUUCAAGCUAUCCUCCCAAGGAGCUGAGACUACAGACACGCACCACCAUGCCCGAUUCAAAGUGCCUCUCAUAUCCACAGGGAAGAAAUGCUGAGUUAUCCAUAAACUUCAAAGCCUGAGCAUGGCUGUGGGAGGCAGCUAAUAGACAACUCUGCAAAGAAUGGGAAUCAUUUUGAAAAGAAGCGUGGAGCUUUCACAAAAGAGAAGAGAGCUAGAGCAAUAAACAAUUUCUAUCUACACAAAGAGGAGCAGACACGUUCCUGUCUUGGACCCUUUAUUUUGGACUCCGGUUGGUCUGAAUUGAAACUGCCUUUUAGUUGGGAGCUACAGAAAGGCUGGGACCUUGAGAUCACAAUGGAUGCUUGUUACACGUGAGAUGAAAGUUUGAGGAGGAGUGUACAUCAAAAGAUGCUGCGUUGAUGACGUCAGAAAUUAUAUGCUGAGAGAGCCUGUUGCAGUGAAGAAGGUGGGGUUUGCCUCCCGCAGGUGAGGCCCUGCUCCAGCCCCAUGCCCAGUAUUACCAUGGCACUCACAAAAACACCAUUUAUCCUAUUCUUUGUUUUUUGCUGCCUGGGAACUCCUCGAAGGCAGGAUCUUGUUGAUGAUGUUUGUAUCAGCAGCACCUGGCAGAGUGCCUGGGCCCAAAAGUAGACUCCCAAAAAAUGUUUGCUGAAUUUAAUGACAACAUCUUGCAGGUUCUGUGACCACCAUGACAUCCGGUGCCCUGCUGCUUAAUAAAGUUCCGAAUGACUUCUGGAGAAUAGUAAAUGUGUCCCUAAACAUAGGAUAUAAUUUUACCUAAAAAUUUCAUAUACAUGUUGUGAGAUAAAUUGUGUUCCCCCAAAAAAGAUAUGUUCAACUCCUAAGCUAGUACCUAUGAAUGUGAUCUUAUUGGGAAAUAGGGUCAUUACAGAUGUAAGCAAGUUAAGAUGCUCAGUAUGGUGGACCCUAAACCCAAUAUGACUGGUGAGCUGAUAAGCAAAGGAGACAUAGAUAGGCACUCAGAGAGAAUACCAUAUGACAACAGAAGCAGAGAUUGGAGUGACACGGAUACAAGUCAUGGAACACCAAGGAUUGCCAGCAAUUCCAGAAACUGAAAGAAGGACAUGGGACAGAUUCUGCCCAAGAGCCGUCACGGAGACAGCAUGGCCCUGCUGACAUUGAUUUUGGACUUCCAGCCUCCAGAGCUGUGACAGAAUAAGGUAAUGUUGUUUAAAGUCACCUGCCUUGUGGUACUUCCGUAUAGCAGCCCUAGAAACUAAUACACACUAUGUUAAGAUUAUUUUGGUGCUACAUUUUAAUGAUUUUUAAAAACUAUGAUUAGGGCCACGCACAGUGGCUCAUGCCUGUAAUCCCAGCACUUGGGAGGCCAAAGCAGGUGGAUCACUUGAUGUCAGGAGUUUGAGGCCUGCCUAGCCAACAUGGUGAAACCUCGUCUCUACUAAAAAUACAAAAAUUAGCUGGAUGUAGUGGCUGCAUACCUAUAGUUCCAGCUCCUUGGGAGGCUGAGGCAGGAGAAUCGCUUGAACCUGGGAGGCAGAGGUUUCAGUGACCCAAGAUCUCACCACUGCACUCCAGCCUGGAUGACAGAGAGAAACUCCGUCUCAAAUUAAUUAAUUAAUUAAUUAAUAAAAUAAAAUAAAAACUAUGAUUAGGAGCUUUCUGUGACUCUCCUUUUCCCACCCCUCCCUACUAUCUGAGAGUUGAUGACAUUUUCUGUUUUAUUUCUUCCGUGUUUAAUUGUAUAGUCUCUGAGAACUAGAUUUGAUCUCAAGGACAGGAAAAUGAAAAGGAACUCAUCAUGACUUCUGGGAUGGUUAAUAUUAAGUGUCAACUUGAUUGGAUUGAAGGAUGAAAAGUGUUGUUUGUGGGUGUAUCUGGGUGUUGCCAGAAGAGAUUAACUUUUGAGUUGGUGGGCUAGGAGAAGACCCACCCUCAGGAAGACCCACCCACAGUGUGGGCGGGCAUCAUCCAAUCGGCCCCAGCUUGGCUGGAAAAAGCUGGCAGAAGAAAGUGGAAGGAGCUGACUGGCUGAGUCUUCCAGCUUUCAUCCUUCUCCUAUGCUGGAUGCUUCCUGCCCUGGAACAUCAGACUCCAAGUUCUUCGGCUUUUGGACUCUUGGACUUACACCAGUGGACUUACACCACUGAAGGCCCGAGAGCCCCUGUCAACUUCCCCUGUCAACUUUGAGGGUUGGGGACUCAGACUGAACCACUACUGGCUUCCUUGCUCCUCAGCUUGCAGACGGCCUGCCGUGGGACUUCACCUGGUGACUGUGUGAGUCAGUUCUCCUUAAUAAACUCCCUUUCCUAUAUA